CUACAACUACAACAAUUUGGUUUGUUGACAGAACGUUAUUGAGAGGAAUAUUUAGAAGUAACUGUGUCUAACAGUAGGAGAAUGGGUUAAAGGUUUCCCCUUGCUCUGUAUCAAACGUCUUACGUCACAGCAACAGUUGAGCAGUGAAACCGCAACAGACUGUAAAUUGAGGGAGAGAGUAAGAGAAACUGUCUGAGAGAGAAGAGAGAGAGAGUGGAAGAGGAAAGACAGAGACUGGGGUUACUAAUCACUGGCCUCAUGUUGCAGGAGCUCAUUUGACAAAACAGAAGUCUAGGCAGAAGAAUGCUCUUUCCCUCAGGCCAGCUGGCUGUGACUGCAGGGAUAUGGAUGUCCUCUAAGAGUGGAUACCAUGCUGCUUCACUCCCUCUCUUUCUUUAUCUUCUUCAGUUUUUAAGCACUGGAGCAUCUUGGCCAAAUGACAGCAAGACAGACAGGAAACUUGCUGACACAAAAACUGAAGCAGUGGGACUAGAUGGGUUUUUCACUGCAGAAAUCAACAUCGAUUACGGACACAGAAACUAAGGCUUAAAGGUUUAAAAACUUUUUGAUAUGUUUGUUUACAAACACAUUAAUUGAUGUUAAUUGAUGGACUGGAGUCGUGUGGAUUACUUGUGGAUUAUUGUGAUGUUCUUAUCAGCUGUUUGGACUCUCAUUCUGACGGCACCCAUUGCACCAUUGGUGACCCAGAUAGCAUGGUGACUUCGAUACAAUAAUGAGUUUUGAUUCAAACCAUCAUUUUAGUUGAGAUUGACAUUUCAGUGGUGAACAUUCCUAUGCUGAAGUCUUGUUUGUUGAACCACCUGACAAUUUCAUGCAUAUCUUUUUAUUUCUUAGUUCCUUUGUUUUGCAUGCUUGUUAUUUGCAUUUGAUUUAUUGUUACUGAAACUAAUAAUAUACAUUAAUUAAAAAUUUUAUGAGUGUUUGAAUAAACCAUCCAUUUUUCUAAAUUCUUAAAAAAAAAGUGUAUGCAACUUGCUUUAGUAAUAUUUAUUAGGAAUUUUAUGAAUAAAGUUCCAACAACAUUUAACAGAUUUCUUGAAGUGCAAAUGACAUGAAGGUGAGCAAGAAUAUCAGACUUUACACACAGCCCACGUAUUGCAUCUAAUACUCAAUGUUUGCACAGAACAUUACCAUUUUUCCUUUAGUAGAGCUGAAGGCAGAUGAGGAUGGGACUAUUAAAAAAAUGAGAAGCGCGUUGCUGAUAAUGGUGAUACUGACUAUACAUUAGCCCCUUUCACACAACAAUACCUUUACAGAUAAAUACACAAAUAUGCUGAUCACACAAGCAACGGCAUUCUGGCUUUUUACCAGUAAGAGACCAUUCACAGAUCAGAAUCAAAAUACCGGUAAAUCCUGUGAUGUCUGUAAAUGGUAGGGCUUGCAUAGACUAGUCGAGGUUUCAUGUCUUUUCAUUUACAGUAGCAUGAACCACGAGUAGUUGAGUAACUCGAGUAUUUUUUAAAUAAGAAAUCGUCUAGCAGAAAUCAGUAGUCGUGCAACCCCUAGUAAACGGAAACGAUCUUUAAAUGUUGCUCCAUUGUCUUCAUUCCCCCGCAUGAGUAGAAGCGCUUUAGUUUCACUAUCUGUCUAAUUUGACAACAUUUUGAGUGACUUUUGAAGCCUGUGCAUGCUCUUAUAAACACCUGAUGCGCAUAAUAGUAGCCUAUCCAACUGCAGGGUGACCGUGAUUUCACCAAGUACAACAUGUUCCUGGAUCAACAUCCUUGAUGAUCCUGGAACAACAUUCCUAUCAACCAGAAUUGAGGGAUAACUUUUCAGGAAGUAUCUGUUUUAGCCUUAUGAUUGGGGUUAGGUGCUUCUACUCCCUUCUUAAUCAGCUAUCAUUUCACACUGAUUUUAGGAAAAAAAAUAUGGGUAGGGUUAGGUUUUGGGGUAGCGAUUGGGUUAAGUCUAUAUUUUUGGACAGUAAUGUUGAUCCAGGAUCAACAAAAGAUGUGCAGGAACAUGUCUUACUUGGCAAAAUCACGGCGACCCCAACUGCAGAGCCACAGCGCUGAUGAAUGAUAAAGAAGGCUGGGUCUCGAGUGGGACAACAGUCAAAGAUGUCCAUCUAGCACAUAAUAAAAUGAAUA